rnacentral:misc_RNA from 1 species
GGCACACAUGAUCGCGCCGCGAACGCACGUCGUCUAUUCGGAACACGACCGCCACGCGAGCUUCUAUGCGCAUGUGUUAUCGUCAAACUCCACUCGUGAUACGAUAAACUCUUAGCAAUUGCUCUAAGACUUUGAAAUGAUGUGCAGAAUCCAACCAGCUGGUGUGCCCUAACGAUAGUGGAAGUCAUCAUCGAUUUUCUAAGGAACAAAAUUGACUCCUCGUCCACAAGGAUAAGGUCGAAGUUAAAGGAAAAUAUGGUAAUAUCGCAAAGCAGACAACAUGAAUAAGUCCACCACGUGCACUCCAGCGGUUAAAUGUAACCAAGUGACCGCUUACAGCCAAAAGACCAGACACAACAAGCCCAAUUUCACCCAAAUAAGUUACGUACAACCACCAUUCAGAAUAUCUCCGAGUAACCCUAAACCAACUAACAAGUCGCGAUGCAUGUGAGACAGUGUCGUUUUUUUUUUUCAUAAUGUAUAGUUUCUUGUGAUGUAUGUAUUUUUAUUAGUUAAUUAAUAAUGUCAAUAAUAUUUUCUGUCUUUUACUCGAUUCAUUAAAAACCGUAUCGACUCUAUUAUGAUAAUCUAUUAACACGUUAAUUUUAAAGAUAAUUUUAGUUUAAAAAAUCUUAUAUAAUUAGUCAUA